UACGUAGGGGGCUAGCGUUGUCCGGAAUCAUUGGGCGUAAAGCGCGUGUAGGCGGUCCGGUAAGUCCGCUGUGAAAGUCGGGGGCUCAACCCUCGGAUGCCGGUGGAUACUGUCGGGCUUGAGUACGGAAGAGGCGAGUGGAAUUUCUGGUGUAGCGGUGAAAUGCGCAGAUAUCAGGAGGAACACCAAUGGCGAAGGCAGCUCGCUGGGACGUUACUGACGCUGAGACGCGAAAGCGUGGGGAGCAAACAGG
rnacentral:rRNA from 1 species